GAUGAACGCUAGCGAUAGGCUUAACACAUGCAAGUCGAGGGGCAGCAUGGUCUUAGCAUGCUAAGACUGAUGGCGACCGGCGCACGGGUGCGUAACGCGUAUGCAACUUGCCUCACAGAGGGGGAUAACCCGUCGAAAGACGGACUAAUACCGCGUACACUUGGAGGGAGGCAUCUCCCAUCAAGGAAAAGAAAUUCGCUGUGAGAUAGGCAUGCGUCCCAUUAGCUAGUUGGUGAGGUAACGGCUCACCAAGGCAACGAUGGGUAGGGGAACUGAGAGGUUGAACCCCCACACUGGUACUGAGACACGGACCAGACUCCUACGGGAGGCAGCAGUGAGGAAUAUUGGUCAAUGGGCGAGAGCCUGAACCAGCCAAGUCGCGUGAAGGAUGACUGUCUUAUGGAUUGUAAACUUCUUUUGUAGGGGAAUAAAGAACGGUACGUGUACCGUAGUGAAUGUACCCUACGAAUAAGCAUCGGCUAACUCCGUGCCAGCCGCCGCGGUAA
rnacentral:rRNA from 1 species